AAAACGGCCCUUUUCAGGGCCAAAAUGUUUAACACGUUUAAUAUG
rfam:Pediculus humanus corporis strain TSDA 1103172085537, whole genome shotgun sequence.